rnacentral:rRNA from 1 species
GACGAACGCUGGCGGCGUGCUUAACACAUGCAAGUCGAACGGUAAGGCCCUUCGGGGUACACGAGUGGCGAACGGGUGAGUAACACGUGGGUGAUCUGCCCUGCACUUCGGGAUAAGCCUGGGAAACUGGGUCUAAUACCGGAUAGGACUCCUGGCUUCAUGGUUGGGGUGUAAAGCUUUUGCGGUGUGGGAUGGGCCCGCGGCCUAUCAGCUUGUUGGUGGGGUAAUGGCCUACCAAGGCGACGACGGGUUAGCCGGCCUGAGAGGGUGACCGGCCACACUGGGACUGAGAUACGGCCCAGACUCCUACGGGAGGCAGCAGUGGGAAUAUUGCACAAAUGGGCGCAAGCCUGAUGCAGCGACGCCGCGUGAGGGAUGACGGCCUGG